rnacentral:lncRNA from 1 species
GGAAGGUAAGGAAGAGGGUGGAGUCAGAACUGCCCUCAGGAUUCUGACCUGGACAGUGGGGUGUACACGGGUGCCAGCCACUAAUGGAAAACACUACAAAGAAGCAGGGGUAUUAUGGGAUGGGGAACAGGGACUCCGGGAUGUAGUUUUGUGUCUGCCUACUGUGGAGCUCCAGUGAAACAGUCAGAUGGCCAGAUCAGUCAGGAGGGUGUAUAUUUGUGUCUGGAGUCCAGAACCUGGUCUGGGUGUAAGAUAAAAUGUUCAAGCCCUGCACUUCCACUGGUUAUGGGUCAUAUGAACUUAGGGGAACCCCAGAUUUUAUUGUCAAACUAGCUACCAGGAUAGAACUGAAAGUUCCCAAGGAAAAAGUUUGAGUGCUUUUGAUACAUUUGACUUCAGGAAUUAAACCGCUUGCACUUUCCAAAGACAUUGGAUGAAGCAAGAAAAAUGGAUUCCACGUCAGAAAGCUCAAAUAAAACAUGGGAGCAUAGAAUCUAAUAGUUCGUGGUGGCUGUAAUUUAACAUGAGGAUAUAUCAACAUGGCACAACAUGCAGAUGUCUUCAUAGCAAAUUAUAAUCAACCAAAAGUUCAAAAUCACAGUCUAGGAGUGGCUUUCAGAACAACUGGAAACCGGAAGAGAUUACUGCAGACUCCUUCAUAUAGGAGUUUAAAGCUGUGGUGGCAUGGGCAUACACAGUAAGAAAUGUGUGUUAAUGAGCUACAGGACUAUAGAAAAUCAGUCUGCAGAGAAAGGGGUUCAAAGCAAGAGUUCUCAGACUGGUUUCGCUGCCACUUACUAACCAGGUGACCCUGGCCAAGAUCCUCACCUCUCUAAUCUCGGUGACCUCUUCUGCAAAAUGAACUGCUGGGAGGAAUAAAUGAGACACUGCAUGAAACACGCUUGGCACACACAAAGGACCAAGGCAUCAGCCAGCAGCUGGAGACCCAGUUCUGCUGAGUGGCUCUUUCUCCUGGCCCCUCCUGGGCCCUCUGGUCCUGAUCCUACUCUGCUUCUUCAGGAACCACUUUGGACACUUCCUGGAAGAGAAGUAUCCUUCCAAUUGCUAAACAACACCGUGACAUCUGCAGGCCUCUCAGCCCAAAGGUUUGAUUUUCUGAGAAAUUCACUCUGGUGUCUUGGGAAGCUGACUGGCUGCACUGGUUGGCUGCUAUUUCUGGAAGCGUCAGCUAUGAUCAUCCCAAAGCUUUCAUAGUGAGCCACAUGCUUGACUCGUAAGUGCUUUAGGUCAUGAGUUCAAGGAGUGUCUGCCUCUUUCCACGGAGAAUCUCUAGUCAGUGGAAGGGGUACGGAACCCAUCUGCAAAUAAAAAGACAGAGACAAUUAAAAAAAUAAAAGAA